AUGGACAGAAGCUCAGCCCUGCUGCCUCUCAAAACCCCACACGCCUGCCACCCUGAGCAGGACUCCACCGAUGGACGUCUCCUGAUGGCGGCUAAAGAAAAGGGGUCCUGUGCAGGAGGAGUUGAGGCAUCAUCACAGUUUGAGUUCCUUCGUAGUCUGGUCCAGUGUCCUCACAGAUCUCACAGGCUGGAGAGGUAAUCAAGCAUGAUCAGAGCCCUGGGGAGUUUCAGAUGAGCCCAGAUGCACCAAGAAGAAGGGGUGGCCAUCAGCAAGUCUUCAUGGAGUGGGCACCUUCUGAACUGGGCCUCUAAGGGUGAGUUAGUUAUCUAGCCGAAGACUGGCACUGGGUGCAAAGACAAAACACAAGGUGAGUGAAUGAACGGGACAUCCCUCAACACAGGAGGCAGCCCACCAAGACGGUAGCCUGAGAUCACAGGCCCCCCUGGGGAACUGGGGGAAGGGGCUGCAGUGUGCUGCCUGCCUCAACCCCCGUGUGAACUUUGCUGCCAC
rnacentral:lncRNA from 1 species